rnacentral:antisense_RNA from 1 species
AUUGGCUUGCAUACCUGAUUACCGAUGCCCUGACAGUUCGCGCUGUUGGGGCAUUUUCU